GGCUCGGUAGCUUAGUUGGUAAAGCGCUCGUCUAGCAUACAAGAGUCCUGGGUUCAAAUCCCACCCGAGCAC
rfam:Aedes aegypti strain Liverpool supercont1.244 genomic scaffold, whole genome shotgun sequence.